GAUGAACGCUGGCGGCGUGCCUAAUACAUGCAAGUCGAGCGGACGGACGGGAAUCUGGCUGGCCUGGGGUUGUCGGCGGAAGGGUGAUGAACACGUGGGUGACCUACCUAGAGGACUGGGAUAACUUCGGGAAACCUGGUAUAAAAUAGGAUCAUAUUUUGAAACGCAUGGUUAAUAAGUGAAAGAAGGAUUUGCUUGGACGUAAAGAGAGUACCGAGCUGGAUUAGCUAGUUGGUAAGGUAACGGCUUACCAAGGCAACGAUGCAUAGCCGACCUGAGAGGGUGAUCGGCCAAACUGGAACUGAGACACGGUCCAGACUCCGACGGGAGGCAGCAGGAGGGAAUCUUCCGCAAUGGGCGAAAGCCUGACGGAGCAACGCCGCGUGAGUGAUGAAGGUCUUCGGAUCGUAAAACUCUGUUAUUAGGGAAGAACAUAUGUGUAAGUAACUGUGCACAUCUUGACGGUACCUAAGCAGAAAGCCACGGCUAACUACGU
rnacentral:rRNA from 1 species